rnacentral:rRNA from 1 species
GAUGAACGCUGGCGGCGUGCCUAAUACAUGCAAGUCGAGCGAACGGACGAGAAGCUUGCUUCUCUGAUGUUAGCGGCGGACGGGUGAGUAACACGUGGAUAACCUACCUAUAAGACUGGGAUAACUUCGGGAAACCGGAGCUAAUACCGGAUAAUAUUUUGAACCGCAUGGUUCAAAAGUGAAAGACGGUCUUGCUGUCACUUAUAGAUGGAUCCGCGCUGCAUUAGCUAGUUGGUAAGGUAACGGCUUACCAAGGCAACGAUGCAUAGCCGACCUGAGAGGGUGAUCGGCCACACUGGAACUGAGACACGGUCCAGACUCCUACGGGAGGCAGCAGUAGGGAAUCUUCCGCAAUGGGCGAAAGCCUGACGGAGCAACGCCGCGUGAGUGAUGAAGGUCUUCGGAUCGUAAAACUCUGUUAUUAGGGAAGAACAUAUGUGUGAGUAACUGUGCACAUCUUGACGGUACCUAAUCAGAAAGCCACGGCUAACUACGUGCCAGCAGCCGCGGUAAUACGUAGGUGGCAAGCGUUAUCCGGAAUUAUUGGGCGUAAAGCGCGCGUAGGCGGUUUUUUAAGUCUGAUGUGAAAGCCCGCGGCUCAACCGUGGAGGGUCAUUGGAAACUGGAAAACUUGAGUGCAGAAGAGGAAAGUGGAAUUCCAUGUGUAGCGGUGAAAUGCGCAGGGAUAUGGAGGAACACCAGUGGCGAAGGCGACUUUCUGGUCUGUAACUGACGCUGAUGUGCGAAAGCGUGGGGAUCAAACAGGAUUAGAUACCCUGGUAGUCCACGCCGUAAACGAUGAGUGCUAAGUGUUAGGGGGUUUCCGCCCCUUAGUGCUGCAGCUAACGCAUUAAGCACUCCGCCUGGGGAGUACGACCGCAAGGUUGAAACUCAAAGGAAUUGACGGGGACCCGCACAAGCGGUGGAGCAUGUGGUUUAAUUCGAAGCAACGCGAAGAACCUUACCAAAUCUUGACAUCCUUUGACAACUCUAGAGAUAGAGCUUUCCCCUUCGGGGGACAAAGUGACAGGUGGUGCAUGGUUGUCGUCAGCUCGUGUCGUGAGAUGUUGGGUUAAGUCCCGCAACGAGCGCAACCCUUAAGCUUAGUUGCCAUCAUUAAGUUGGGCACUCUAAGUUGACUGCCGGUGACAAACCGGAGGAAGGUGGGGAUGACGUCAAAUCAUCAUGCCCCUUAUGAUUUGGGCUACACACGUGCUACAAUGGACAAUACAAGGGGCAGCGAAACCGUGAGGUCAAGCAAAUCCCAUAAAGUUGUUCUCAGUUCGGAUUGUAGUCUGCAACUCGACUACAUGAAGCUGGAAUCGCUAGUAAUCGUAGAUCAGCAUGCUACGGUGAAUACGUUCCCGGGUCU